rnacentral:rRNA from 1 species
UACGAACUGUGCGAACGUUAUUCGGAAUUAUUGGGCGUAAAGGGUGCGUAGGCGGCUUGCUAAGUCGAACGUGAAAUCCCCAGGCUCAACCUGGGAACUGCGUCCGAUACUGGCAGGCUUGAAUCCGGGAGAGGGAUGUGGAAUUCCAGGUGUAGCGGUGAAAUGCGUAGAUAUCUGGAGGAACACCGGUGGCGAAGGCGGCAUCCUGGACCGGUAUUGACGCUGAGGCGCGAAAGCUAGGGGAGCAAACGGG